rfam:Cronobacter sp. DJ34 Bact_A5_20, whole genome shotgun sequence.
UAUGGCCGGUGCAGGUGUACGGCUCAGCAACCUCGGCGCUUUUAUUGCCGGGGGCGUUGACGAACUUCACAGUUCGGCAGGAGUUCAGGUGGCUUCGCCAAUGCGCUAUCGCAACGCGAAUGUCUCAAUGUCUUCCGAUGCCCGUACCGAUGAGUAUUCCCGCUACGUUGUGGAUGGCGCUAUGGUCGCCGCCAUGAAAGCGGCGCUCACGCCGACCCGUCAUUUUUCAUAACGCCCGUUUUUUACCGCGCAUCAUGUCGCCCAAUAUGAUGCUUGCUCGUACCAGGCCCCAAUGUGUUGUUGGGGCUUUUUUUA